rnacentral:sRNA from 1 species
AGAUCAGUGUCUGCUUCCUCCCCACUCCACAUGCUUCCCUCCCAUAGUUGUGUGUUCAGUCCAAGAGGAUGACCUUUCCAGAUAGAGGAUAUAUGAAAGAGUAGCUGGGCUGCCCUGCUAGUACCUUCAAACAAGCUCUGAUUUAACUUUCAAAGUAAGCAAGGUGCUAGCUAAAAUAUCUCAAAAUGGCAAGGGGAGCGUUGACAUGCAUUAACACUCUGUUUAUU